rnacentral:lncRNA from 1 species
CGGCUCGGCGACUGGGAAGCGCCGAGGCCGGGAGUGGGUGGGGGUGGGGGGGUGGGGAGAAAGGGGGAGUGGGGAGAGGGGUGGUGUGCGAAGGGGGGGCUCCGGGGGGCGGGUCCCUGUGCCGCUGACGUCCCGAGCAGUGCUGGGAAGUAUAGGCUGUGUUGUCACGCCGGUGUCAGUCUGAUGAAGAUUGGCAUCAGGUGA